rnacentral:rRNA from 1 species
GCCCGUCGCUCCUACCGAUUGGAUGACUCGGUGAAAUCACCGGAUGCUUACGAGCAGAAAGUGAUUAAAUCACGUUAUCUAGAGGAAGGAGAAGUCGUAACAAGGUAACGGUAGGUGAACCUGCCGUUGGAUCAGUUCUAGUUUUAAUAACUAACACCAACUUCUUUUUAUUAAACAAAAACCAAUACAAAAUUAAAAACUAACUUCAUCAAAAACCAAGUCUCUAAGCAAUGGAUGUCUUGGCUCCUCACACGAUGAAGAACGUGGCAUAAUGUGUUAAGUAACCGGAGUUGCAAACAUCAUGACAGGUUAAUCUUUGAAUGCAAAUUGCGCUAAACUCGAUCUCGGUCGAGAAGCAUGGGUGUGACAGUACUACAU